GUUUUGACAGUCAUGGAGAAUUAAGUCCUCUUCUACCCAAUAAUGCAAAAUUGUCAGCGAAAGAUUUUUUUUUUAUCUGUUGCCCUUAGACAUUCCAACUUCAUUUUGGAGUGACCAUUCCUAAAAGCAAAAAGACAGCAGUGACUCCGGAUCACUUUUUCUGCUGAGAUCAACUGCCUGCUACAAUGAUGAAUGUUUCUUUACUUUGGACUAAGCUGAAAUUCCUGGCUCCUUUCUUGUUUCCAAAAAGCAUGAAGUUUAUGAUCUGCAUGUUUCAGCUGAUUCUGGAGAAAGGAUUGCCAACACCUACAUUAUGUUUCGAGCUUGAGGAACUGGAUUUGUGCUCAUACCUAGUAUUUUCCUGCCUCGUCAUCUUCUGCUGGUUUCAACUGAAUGGAACUGUUGAGAACGGGCUGUUGCUAGUGCCUAUUUACAUGCUGUUAAAAUCGAUGAAAACUUAGAGUGCUUGCAAGUACUUAAUGUGAGUGGUAUGCAAGGAACAGAUCGCUCUGUUGCCAAGGAUUUUGGUGCUGAAUACUUCGACGCCCUUUCAUCUUCUAAUCCAUCAACAUCUGGAACUGUCGUAUUAGACUGCAUUCCUCUAGUCCUCUAAGUAUUUGUUUUUAGACUUGAUUGAAAUUACUACUUCUUUAUACAUGCCGAGUAUUUCUUCAACUGAAAGAAAAGGAAUGCAUGAGGGAAUUGAAAAUAGCCCUUGAAGGAUCUUUGUCCCGUAUCUUGCCAGGUUUCAAGACACUAGCAAUACAUUUUGCAAAAUCCUCAGUAGAACAGAUUGGUUUGGAGUACAGUUGUUCAACCAUAUUGUGAAAAUAAAUGCCAUUCUUGAAUUUGCA
rnacentral:lncRNA from 1 species